GUCGAAGAAGGUAGCUCAUUUGCCAUUUGUCAUUCAAAUACAAUGAUUAAUUUUAGAAGGGUGCAAGGGCUGCACUGCUGCUUAGCCACACCCCUCAUCAGCUGAACUGCUUCCACCUGCUGCUCUCACCUGCUCACAAUCUCCAAUCAAGCCAGUAUAUAUGCAGCUUCAGCAGUCUCACUCUUUGCUGGAUUGUCUUUGCUCCCAUGCCUGACUCUCCAGCACUUGUUCCUGGACUGCUUACCUGCUAUUGACCCAACUUGCCUCUGACCUUUGCUACACGUCUCUGCCCGGUAAAUCCACCAGCCUUCCGUCCCUGACUCCGAGCAUUGCCUGCCUGUGGCUGGGUGGCAUUCAGCCUGUUCCUGCUCUGAGAGGAGACCCACCUUGCCCGUUCUACUUUCGCUUACUCUGUUUCAAGGUCCGGAUCCUCACCCAGUCCUCAUCUGAACCAUAGUCCAGCCAGAGUUUCACCAGCAGUCAAAGUCGACAGAGGCAGCCGGAGACUCUGCAAGAGCCAACGGCAACUAGACAUUAAAAGCAAUCCCCUGGAGAAACCGACCUUUCAGAGGAAAAUAAGAACAUGACAUGAGGAGGUCUCCAGAGACUGAUGUGUGGAGAGAGGCAGCGAGGACGUUUCAGACUGAGAUGGCUUUCAUAAAAAAGGUUCAAUUAACAGCUUCCUGCUGCCAGCACUGCGCCAGCUGUCCAACAAGUUGAAGAAGUCGCAGUCAACUCCCAAAGUGCAUGGAUGCCUAAAUAUAGACGACACAUUAUGGAGAUGACACCAGAAACUCUGAGAUGAUUGCUGUAGUUAUGUUCCUGGUCAACAGAGGGAAACAUGUAAUAAAAUGACCAUGGUAAUUUGAUUUGGACUCCAGUGAUGCCUGCUUAACAGCAACCACUGUGAUGAAAAUUACUCCCCCGCAUCUGUGAAGUCAGGAAAGGGUUGGAUAAAGUGUGUUUACGUCAAGCCACUGGAAGAUUUAAUCUUUCCUCAUAUAAAGAGCUGUCUCUCAAACUCAGUUGCUCUGUUGUUGAUGCCAUCGUUUUAAAUGUAACUGCUCUGUUCUGUUAACUGUGCAUCAAAUUUGGCAAUGUUUAAACACAGUGGAAUUUUAUCCCUUGAAUAGGGCCCAUUAAGCAGAGACGCCGCACUCACAUUAUCAAAGCGUAUAGCUCAGACCGUGUCUCGGUUUUCUGCUAAAUAUGCUGUUUGCACAUACAGAUCUAAUAAUUAUCAAGCUGCCUUCGAUUACAAGCACGUACCGUAUGACUGAGGUUGAUGGUGCUCAAACAUCGGAUCAGUAUCAGUGCGGAUCGCGACCUCGUGGAGUGGAUUGGGUUUCAGCCAUAACGUGACUAAACCACAUUAAAUACACUUUAUCAAUCUCAUUAUAAAAC